AUGUAAGCGUUUCAAAUAGAAGCUGAUGAAUUUUUAAUUGAUUUAGUUGCAAGUAGGUGCAGUUUCAGAGUAUUUUAGUGUAAAGCAAAAAUAAAACCCUAAGCCCCCCGCUAACUGGACGGAUCCCCCUUCAUGGCCAAGAGAACCUGAGACACGGGAUUCCCGGCCAUGGUGGGAAGCGGCGGACACCUCUCGUUACGCCCCCUCCCCUUUGGCGUCCGGGCACCACCAACCAGCAUUGACGUUGCAAUAGAGAUGUUAGGAUGGACAGACAGACUCCCAGCCUGACUCUGGUGCAGCCUCCCACACGGACGGCAGACAGCAGGCCCUGAGGACACGCACAGGGUGCUCACCACAAUGUAUGCCUUUGACACGUUUAGAAAUGGGCCUGUCUGCUGUGGGGGAACAUUGCAUCUUAGAGGGUCUCCUUCCCUUUCUAGGUCUUUCCCAGACCUACAGAGGAUUAACUAGGAGUCGGACACCUUUUAUUUAUUUAUUUUUAAUUAAUUUUUUUUUUUGAGACGGAGUCUCGCUCUGUCGCCCAGGCUGCAGUACAGUGGCUCAGUCUCGGCUCACAGCAAGCUCCGCCUCCCGGGUUCACACCAUUCUCCUGCCUCAGCCUCCUGAGUAGCUGGGACUACAGGCGCCCGCCACCACGCCCGGCUAAUUUUUUUUUAUAUAUAUAUUUUUUAGUAGAGACGGGGUUUCACCGUGUUAGCCAGGAUGGUCUCGAUCUCCUGACCUCGUAAUCCGCCCGCCUCGGCCUUCCAAAGUGCUGGGAUUACAGGCGUGAGCCACCGCGCCUGGCCCGACACCUUUUAAAUUUGGAAAAGAGACUUCCACCCCCCGUUCUCUCUGAAGGCUGUUUCCCACCUGGAGGCCUCAGCUACUUAACAACAACCUUGGCGUCUACAGCCCACUUUAUACCAAGCCAAGCUUUUCUGUCCCCUGACUUUUUAAGUUCUUAGACAAAGCUUAACUCUUUCAACCAACUGCCAACCAGAAAAUCUUUGAAUCUGGGUGCAAGCCCCCAUGUCCUACCUGAACCUUCCAUGGACUGACUGACGUCUUUGCCUGUAACUUCCAUCUCCCUGAAAGGUAUAAAACUAAGCUGUGACCCACCUACCUCGGACACAUUCCCAAGGCCUCUUGAGACUGUAGCUCAGGCCACGAUCAAUCAUAUUGGCUCAGAAUAAACCGCUUUCAAUAUUUUACAGAAUUGGGCUUUUUUUUUUUGUCAACAUUAGGAAAACCUUUUACGAUACACUUUCCAUUUCUGCCAGGAUAUAAUACUUUAAAUUACAUUGAUAUAGAAGACAUUAUGGAAUUAAGCCUGUCCGCCCCACUCCAAAAUUAGGAAAGUUAGUAGAAAAAAACUUAAGGUAACGCAAACUAGAUUGUUUUCCUUUCCUGAGAAAAUCCUCAUGUCCUUAGCUCCAAAAUAAAUUCCAAAUAAAUAGUGAAAAUGUAACAAAGUAAAUUACACCAGCAACGUUGAACCUGUCUGUUUGGGGAGUGGGAGGGCUGCACUGCCUCCAGGCCUCCGCGCGUUGACUGGGUCGUCACAUGAUCCGGGAGUGUGGGGUCCACCCUGCCUCGUCAGCACUGACGCUGCCCCCACACACAGGCUCACCGUUUAAGGAUCCUUCCCUUACGGGGAAUGCAGAAAGCCGCAGCCUCUCGCAGCUGCCUGACUCUGCAGAGACUGGGAAGGUCUGAAAAGAAGUCCCUGGAGUCUGGAUCUCAGGGGUGAGCCCCAUGGACCACGGCUGUGUCCCCGACGCCUCCCCUGAAACACCAGCGGCUCUCUCGCCUGGCCUCGGCUGCCCUGAGUCCCGAAGUGUUUCCCUGGAGGCCAGCCCUGCAUGCAGCCGGUCCACCACCUCCCAGAGGCUCACACCAUCUCCGGUGUGAAGCCCGCAUUUGGGGUCUCCAGAGAGAGGCCUGUUCCCAUGCUGGAUCCUGCUUCUCUUGCAGCCCCAGCUCCCAGGCCCGGGUGCUCACGAGGAGGGCCCUUCACACAGACCUCGUCCUCCUGUCUGCUCCUGGCUGCAGCGUCCCCGCCCCACUCACUGCACCAACUUCUUCCACCUCCCUCCUGGGUCACCUCUCUCCUGGGUCUGAGCAGUGGGUCCCUGGGACUGAAGAGUGUAGCACAUUGAGUAACGAUCCCUAAAGAGACAUGUCUCCAUCUUAACCCCAGAAGCACUCGGGUUUGGAAAAAGGGUCUUUUGAGGCAAGAUCAUCCUGGGUUGUGGGAGCAGCCCUAAUCCAGGCUCAAGUGUCCUUAUAAGGGAAUUUGCCGCUGGGGGUGUCGGGGAGGCCGAGGCUGGGACCCUCUGCAGCUGCGGACGUCGCCCCACACUGCUCUCACCUUCCCGCUUCCCACAGUGACCUAUGACCCCGUCAUGACUUGGUGCCAGCCCCUUGGAGACACUGGUGUCCCUCCAACCCCACAGCCCCAGGGGUCAGCAGAAACGGGAAAGAGAAGAGCACAGCCCCCUCUGCCCGCCUGGUCCCUGGAAGCCCCUCUGACCUGGAGCAGCAGCCACUCCCUGCAGCCUGUCCAGGAGACCAGGAGCCGCCGGGGGGAGGCUGGAGCUGGGCCGGGAGGCUGCUCUGCCGGACGUGGAGUCUCUGAACCUGCUCGGUGCAUGCGCACGCUCCCCUGAGCCCCGCUGUUUUCCUUGCAGGACCCUGUUCUCAUCACUGGGUGGAGGUGCAGAGAGGCUCAGCCGUUUGCAGGACAGUCUGAGGAACAGAGCCCUGUGGCUUUGAGACUCUGCAGAUCUCCGGGACCUGGGGACUGGGUGAGGUGGGUUGGGGGCUCCCUUCUGCAGCCCUGAGAUUGGAGCAGACCUCAGGAGAGCCCCCCAGGGCCAGCACUUCCCAGGCCUGGGACUGGGGAAUGGGCUAAGGGUCCCAUCUGUGGAGCAGCUGUGAGGCCCCUCGCCAGCCCGUGUGGACUUGAGAUGAGAUCACGGAAGCCCCAAGCCCCGCUGAGGCAGUAGAGACGCGGCGCCACCUGGAACAGGGGUCUGUUAUCAAAAGCCCUUGGCUCGCGGGGUCAUUAGGGAUUCCGUGCACACACCUGGAGUGUUGAAUAAUGAAUCAGGCUGCCCUGGUGUGAUGAGAUUUCAUAAAUGAGCGAUUUGCAUAUUGUGAUUGAUCACGGAAGCCUCUGGGGCUGGAGCUGGAGGAGCCGGUCAGGUGCCGGCUUCUGUGUCCUCAGCGGGUGCCUCAGUCCUGCCCCGGAGGCUGCAGGGACGCAGACUCCCCAAGGUGCAUGGACCCUGCCCCGGGCAGCCGCUGGACUUGAGACUUGGGGUGGAAGCAGGCCGUGUCCCUCUGAAGGUCCCUGCCUUCAGGGUCGGUCCUCAGCGUUUGUGGGAAGCAGCUGGUGUCCUCUGCCCAGGGGCUAUGCCCUUUCUGGCCAAGGGCUCAAGCCCAGAGGUCACUGCUGCCACCUGGCUCUGGCAUUCUCACACCUUCUGGAAGAAUUCCAGCUGUAAUGACGGCAGCUGCUCAUAAAAAACCUGGGGCAGGCCGGCUCAAGGCGAGUCAGGCCAGGCGGCUGCAGGACUUAGCAUCUUCCCACCUGGCCUGAGCAGCCUGGAAACUGCAUCCGCUUUCAUGCAGCUGACACCAGCCAGCUGUCCCCGAGGAUGUGGGAUGCAGUGAGGCCAGAGGCACCCUCAGGACAGGAGGGGCACGAGGCCGGAGACACCUUGAUCCCAGGUAGGAGCUGGGUGCACACAGGGAGCCUCAUCCUGAGGCCCCUGGGAGUUGGGGUCAGUCAUCAUAGGCGCUGACCUCCAGUCGUCCUUCUCAGGCGCCUUUUCCGGAGAAAGCCCAUCUGAGUAUUCGGCCACAAGCUCCUUGGUAGGGAAGAGCUCCCGCUCCCAGCUCCCAGCUUCUCUAAGCCCAGAUGAGACACAGAAGCUCAUUUUAUUCAAAUGCAAACUUUUAAUGGAUGAAAUUCUUCAACAGUGACUUUUUGGCUUUUCAUAAUGAGAAAAAGAUAUGUUCUCUCCUGGCAAUGUUCUAAAAUUUUGCCGUGAGACAGCUUUAGAGCCUCAGAAUCUGAGGCCGGGGGAGGCUGAGCCAUCGUCACACGUGAGGCCAAGGCUGCACACAGGAGGGGCCCAGGAGGGGAAAGCCCGGCUCCCCUUUCCCACUGAACUUUCAGGGCGGUCAGUGGAAGGACGGCGGGAAAUGGGGGCAGCAGGGGAGGGACGGGCAGCUCAGCUGGACAGUCAGGUCCCCGCCGGCCCAGAGGGAGGCU
rnacentral:lncRNA from 1 species